AACGCACAUUGCGCCCCUGGCUAUUCUGAGCGGGCAUGCCUGUUCGAGCGUCAUUUCAACCCUCAAGCCCCCUGCGGGCUUGGUGCUGGGGAUCGGCCGUAAAGCGCCGGCCCCGAAACUCAGUGGCGGUCACGCCGCGGCAUCCAUUGCGCAGUAGUAAUGCCUCGCACUGGGAACGCGACGAGUCCACGCCGUAAAACGCAUAGCCUUCGAGCUCCUGAGAGUUGACCUCGGAUCAGGUAGGGAUACCCGCUGAACUUAA
rnacentral:misc_RNA from 1 species